GGGGCUAUAGCUCAGUCGGGAGAGCGCUUGCAUGGCAUGCAAGAGGUCGCCGGUUCGAUUCCGGCUAGCUCCACCA
rnacentral:tRNA from 1 species